GCCAAAGGAGAGGGUGGGGACGGUGGGGCGGGGAGCCGCUGGUAGGGGCUUGCUCCCGUUAACUCUUGGGGUCCUGACUGCAGCCAGAGGGGCUCUCCCCCCUCACCCACCUCUGGAGCCCGCAAACCCUCCAGGUGUCUCCUAGGAGGAAGAAGGUUUGUGAAAUCACCCCCUCCAAAACUGCUGCCCCAGUUCCAACUCCGGGCGACAUGCAGAAAUGCAUUUAUUGCAAAUUAGUUUUAAAUCAGGUCGACUAGGAACAUGGGUAUUAAAGCGAAUAGUUUGAGUGAAAUGUUUUUUGUUUCUAGGAUGAAUAAGAAAUAGUUGUUUUUGUAGUAACAGUUUUGAAGGAGUUAUGAAUUCGAAUGACAAUUUUAAACACAAUCUAAUUCUGGGAUGGGGAACUCCAGCUUUACCUAAAUUUGUACUGAACUCAUUGAAAAUUAGCAUUCACCCACUAAAAGACAACCACCUUCUGAAAAAUGUCUUGAUUUUUAUGUUAGAGCGUUCUUGUCAGAACUGGACAUUUUUCUCCUUCCAAAUAGGACUGAGAAUAACACUUAAACUCAAACUUUAGACUAGUAUGAAAGCAAUCGCCAGAUUCCUGUUGAUACAUAUGUGUAAAAAAUGAGUGGCUGUUGGUUUUUCAUAUACUAAAAACUAACUUUUUUAUGGAGAAUAAUUAUUUUCAUGGAGUCCCCAAGGAAAUACAUUUAUAUUACAGUCAAUAUCCAAAGGAGGAAAAUACACAUUAAAAUUUCCAUUUAGAAAAUAAGAACAAUGAUUAUUAAUUACAAAAUCAGAUAUUGAACCCAAAAGACAAGAUCAUAAUUCUGAAUAAAACAGGUUUGAUUCACAGACGUCAUAGUGUGAUAAAUGGGAGAAUAAAACCUAACUGUGCCUUUCAAUUAUUUUUCAGGAAACAAAGCAAAGCAGCAGAAAUCCUAAAUGUGUGUGCUCUUUCUCCCUCUCCCAUUUCCUUAACAAGGAGCAUAAAGACUCCCUCCCUGACAGGAUCUCUGCUUCGCUCUUCCGUCCUGCUAAGAACAAGGUGUCACUAUGUCAUGCUGGCCGAGCGACCUGAAACUCAAGAGAUCUACCUGCCUCUGCUUUCCCGGUCCUGGGAUGAGAGCUAUGCUUCACCCGCCUGCAUAAUUUACUUGCCGUUUACAAACUUACAGAUGUGACGGCACUUU